CCCUGCCCCGCGUCUGCAGCCCCGGGGAGCCCCCGCCCGACGAACGGGGCUGCGGCACCGCGGCCGGGAGGAGCCGCUCCGGGACAGCCGCCGGGACCUCGGGCCGCUCAGCUGAUACACCUGCCAGGCAUAUCUUGAGUGGGAAGGGAUGCCGAAGGAGCACCGAGCUGAACCCUUAUGUGAACACCUCGUCUGGGGAUUGAACACACAACCUGGGUUCAGCACCCUGCUCCAACCAGCCGAUCUCGGGUCCGUGGCAGUGUCGUGCCUGGGAUGGGAAUGCCAAGCACCAGCAAGGGAAUUCCUAUGCCAAUGCAGCUCCUUCUUUGAUGCUGAUACUGCUUUAUGCAGCAGCCCCUGGAAUGUCCCAGGACAGAGCUCCGUGGCCAGCACCUGACCGUGGAACAACACAGGGAGGAAUGAGCAAGACAAGCCCUGAGGGUUCCCUUGGUCCAUGGCCCAAGUUCUUCUGGAGAGUGUCAGGGACUGGUCCCCCCUGCAGAGGGGCAUCUCCUGCAGGUCCCAGCUGGCCGGGAACGCAGGGCUGGAGGAGGCCGGCAGCCCCCGAAAGGCAACCAGCACUUCUUGUCCUUGGGGCGUGCAGGGGAGGAGUGAGCUAAACACGCAUCCCAGGGACGGGCGCCAGGCUGCUCGGACAGCGCCGGCACAGGCACGGCUGAAGGGCUGCCCGCAGCUCCUCGGCCAGGGGCUGCUCUGCACGGGCAUGGGGAGAUGCUUCACCCCGCACGGAGGCCACCGAGAGCCCCGAGGCGCCCCGAGGAGCAGCUGGCACUGCCUGGGCACGGGCGGCUCGGGCCAUCCGCAGAGGGGCUCAGACGGCGAUUCCCGGUUCCCACCUCCCGGAGCUCCCCCGCGGCUGCCAGGUAUGUCCUGGCCACCCCAAAUCCCCCCCUUCCAGCCUGAGGACAUCAUCCAUCGGCAGCACUAAAGCCGAGGGGAUUUCCCUCACAGAGAUGAAAUCCCCAGCAAUUCUCUCAGAGAUGCCUUAAAAUGAAAGGUGGGUCCCACUGGAGGUGCGCUGAAGGCCAGGAUGUGCAUCCCUUUCCUGAGGGAAAAGAAUUUGCAGAGGGCCACCGCUGAGGCUCUGGAAGGAGCUGAGCUUCUGCAGGCAGAGAUGUUCUCCCGUGGGCACAGGGGCUGCCUCGGCACGGGCCGGGAGCGCGUCCAGCCAGCGCCUUCUCCUGCUUUAGAAAUAUCAAUGGGAGCCCGAGCUCGGGGGUGGGGGUUGAAAUCAGCUGAAUUCCAGGCAACUCUGUCAAGUGCCCCCCAGGGACAUGGGUGGGGCUGGGGGAUGAGGGUUUUAAAUAGCAAAUUCUAUGGAAUAUUGGCCUGUUCUUAUCCCAUCCUACUGAGCUUUCUUGGAACCUCUGCUAGCUCCUGGCACAGCUGGUGUUAAGUAGGCAGCUCUGUAUGGGAAUAUCAAUGCUCCAGGAGGCACUGUGAGAUUAUUCUAAGCUCACAAUUCAGCAGGCAAUUCAGGGCUGUAGCUCUAAUCCAUCUGAACUAGCAAAGCUGAACCCCAAAGCUGGGCCCCACACUGGGAACAGUCUUUGUGCUGCCCUGUCAGCCAAAGCCCCUGGGCUGGGAAAUUUCAGCAGCCAAACUGAUGGAAUUGCCUCAAUGCCAGCAUCCCCCAAAGGGACAAUCCAAUGCCAGCAUCCCCCAAAGGGACAAUCCAAUGCCAGCAUCCCCCAAAGGGACAAUCCA